ACCUCCUACAAAGGUGUGUUGGUGGUCACUUGUCCUUGGACACACAAGAAUUGGAGGCAAAGAGAUGUGGACUUGGAGAAGUCUGGAGCCAGUUUGCUCCCUGCAGGCUCAAGAUCAUCCUUUCCCACAUAG
rnacentral:snoRNA from 1 species